UGGAGCAGGCAUUGGAGGCGGUGAAGGAGUAGCAGGAACCGGAUCAGGUUGUUUAGCGACAUAGUCUGUCCUUUGUUUCUGGAUGGCGCGGGUGUACACAGGUUCUGGCAAUCCCAGACCACCUUCAUAAUUCCUCAGAGGGUCCAGAAUGUUGUUUGGCACAAAGCCUGUAUUGCCGCUUUUAUUCCGGACCUUCCACCACUGCUUCCUAUCAUCCAGAAUCUCUACAAUCUCUUCUUUCAGGACAGAAAGCUCACUGUUGUUUCUUGCCAUAAAUUCAUACUUGCAUUUGGCAUAUUUCUUGGACUGUGUUUUAUUGUGUGCCUCAUAGUUUCCAUCGGCUGGAGGGUAGUCGGGAACACUGGGAGGCUCAGUUGAUAAUCUUUUUAUUUCUUGCUUCCGUUGUUGCUCUGCAAAGUUUGCC
rnacentral:lncRNA from 1 species